AAGUAGGAUUCAAGAAAAGUUCAAACAAAUAGAGUUUAGUUAUUAUACUUCACUGUACCUCUCUCUGCUAUGAAUUUCUCGCCAGUCACAGCGAUCGUCCUCUCAAAUGGCAUAUUUCCCCACAAAUUCUAAUGGGUAAGUGCAGAAAUUCGAUUAUUUCCUCAAUGAUAUGCUGUUAUAGUUUUUAUUUUUUCCAUUUUUUGUUUUCCCGCGCUGUGUUUUUCUUCAAUUUGAAGAUUUUGUUUGCAGGAUGUGAAAAACUGUCUAUUAUAUUUCGUUUUUCCCGAACAAAUAGAUAGUUUUAUUGUUUUUGAAUUUUUUUAUUUAUUUAUUUUUAAAUUGGGAUUAAACAUUAUGUAUCACUCUGAAUCUGAGUUGGAUGUUUUGGGAUAAAUGGAAUGUCUUGAUAAUAAUUUUCUGUAAUUAACCUGAAAUCAUGUUAAUUAUGCCCUAUAUUUUUUCCGCAGAAUUAAAUUGAUUUAUGAAAAAAAUUUAGACGGACGUCACGGGGAAUCCAUUGCUCAAUGGUGUUAAAAGCAUUUAACAUCGAAAUCGAGCAGUUUACAUGUGAGGCUCAGAUACUGAUCCUCAACUGCAUAUUGUUUCCUACGAAUUAGCCUAUUUGGUGAACAUAGAGGGAUUAUUUGUCAUUUUUUUCAGUUAUAUGUGAGCACAAUCAUUAUGUGAAUAGGACGCAAUCCGAGUGUGAAUUUAGAAGUUAUGAAUUUGAGUUUUGAGAACGAGAAUUAACCUUCUUUCAAGUUAGAUGUUUUUUUGGUAUCUUAUAUAUUUUUCAUGCAAUUAGCGUUUUCCUUGAUCAUUAUUCUUUAUUCUUUGUCAAAUUCAGUAGUUGCUUCGUCCCUUGAUUUCAUCAUCG
rnacentral:lncRNA from 1 species